CCCUUCCCCCCUCCUUAUUCUCUCGAGCCUUCCCUGAUCCCUCCCUCUCUCUUUUAUUUUUAUUUCCUUCAUACAAAUCAAAACCAAACCCUCUUUUUUCCUUCAUCUCCUCUUCCAUUCCAUUUUCUUCAUUUCAAAAUCUUCAUCCAACCACAACACACCAGAUUUUAUUUUACCCUUUUAUUUUAUCUUUAUUUUAAUAUAUCAUCUAUAUCCAAAGUAAAUUUUUAUUUUUCACAACCCCAAAUCAAGAAGCUCAUACUAAUGAGUGAAGGAAGCAUUCAAAUUUGAGUUCCAAUUAUUAUUGAGGCUUCAAGAGUUGUAGAAUUAUUGGACAUCAUUUGGUAGCUCGUUGACGCGCUCAGAGUUGCUUCCGGUUCUUUUGAAUCAAGUUAUACAGGAGUCAUUCCAGGUUCCAUUCCACCUGCCCCUCAGUAGAUCUUAGUCAUUUUGGUGAGCCCUUCUUCUUUCCAAGGGCUAAGUAAUUAUGUAAUGGAACCUUUGCUAAAAAUCUAGAUUAUGUCAAUGCUCCAUAUGUCACAGGCAGGAUCCUCGUGUGGGUUAUGUUAUUUUGAAUCUUGAACUGUUUAGGUGGUGAUUAUGAUUUGGUUAUGUAAAACUUAUGGUUUUAACUAUAUACUCUAGUUAUCAACUUGAUAUAUAUAUAUAUAUAUA